rnacentral:lncRNA from 1 species
AUGAAGACACUGGAGAGACUGGUCCUGGGUCACCUCCGCUCUGCGGUGGGAACCUACCUGGACCCGAUGCAGUUCGCCUACCAACACGGCAUAGGAGUAGACGACGCUGUCAUCUCCCUCCUACAUCGAGCUCUUUCCCACCUAGAGAAGCCCGGCAGCACUGUGAGGAUCAUGUUUUUUGACUUCUCCAGUGCCUUCAACACCAUCCAGCCGGUGCUUCUGAAACACAAACUGGAGGAGGCUGGUGUUGACCUUCAUCUGAUGGAGUGGAUUAUUGACUAUUUCACAAACAGGCCUCAGUUUGUGAGAGCCGGGGACUGUGUGUCUGACACUCUGACCUGCAGUGUGGGGGCCCCACAGGGGACUGUACUGGCCCCCUUCCUCUUCAUCCUCUACACGGCAGACUUCAGACACAACACGGACAGCUGUGUUCUGCAGAAGUUCUCUGAUGACUCUGCGAUCGUCGGACUGAUCACCGAUGACGACGAUGCAGAGUACAGAGGACUCAAUCAGAACUUUGUGGACUGGUGCCAGCGGAACCACCUCCUGAUCAAUGUAGGGAAAACGAAGGAGAUGGUGGUGGAUUUCCGCAGACAGCAGCCUGCUGUCAUCUCACCGAUGCACAUCCAGGGAAGGGACAUUGAGAGAGUGGACUCUUACAAGUACCUGGGUGUGCAUCUGAACAAUAAACUGGACUGGACUCAUAACACGGAUGCACUGUACAGGAAGGGUCAGAGCAGACUCUACCUGCUGAGGAGACUGCGGUCUUUUGGAGUGAGAGGGCCACUCCUGAAGACCUUCUAUGACUCUGUGGUGGCAUCAGCCAUCCUGUAUGGUGUGGUCUGCUGGGGCAGCAGCAUCACAGUGAGGGACAGGAAAAGACUGGACAGGAUCAUCAAGAAGUCCAGCUCUGUCCUGGGCUGCACUCUGGACACGGUGCACGAGGUGGGUAAGAGAAGGGUCCUGGCUAAACUGACAUCCAUCAUGGACCAGGUCUCUCACCCACUGGAGGACUCACUGUCUGCUCUGGAGAGCAGCUUCAGUAGCAGACUGAUCCACCCUCGCUGUGUGAAGGAGAGAUAUCGUAGAUCCUUCCUACCUGCUGCUGUCAGACUGUAUAAUCAGAACUGUUGA